GCCCGCGUGGCGCAAUUGGUUUAGCGCGUCAGACUUUUAGAAAAUCUGGGAAUCUGAAUGUUGCGAGUUCGAGUCUCGCCGGGGGCG